CGCUGAUGCGUUGUUGGGUAGGGGAGCGUUCUGUAAGCCUGCGAAGGUGACCUGUGAGGGUUGCUGGAGGUAUCAGAAGUGCGAAUGCUGACAUAAGUAACGAUAAAGCGGGUGAAAAGCCCGCUCGCCGGAAGACCAAGGGUUCCUGUCCAACGUUAAUCGGGGCAGGGUGAGUCGACCCCUAAGGCGAGGCCGAAAGGCGUAGUCGAUGGGAAACGGGUUAAUAUUCCCGUACUUGGUGUUACUGCGAAGGGGGGACGGAGAAGGCUAUGUUGGCCGGGCGACGGUUGUCCCGGUUUAAGCGUGUAGGUGUGUGUUCCAGGUAAAUCCGGUUCACUUUAACACUGAGGCGUGACGACGAGGCACUACGGUGCUGAAGCAACAAAUGCCCUGCUUCCAGGAAAAGCCUCUAAGCAUCAGGUAACAUCAAAUCGUACCCCAAACCGACACAGGUGGUCAGGUAGAGAAUACCAAGGCGCUUGAGAGAACUCGGGUGAAGGAACUAGGCAAAAUGGUGCCGUAACUUCGGGAGAAGGCACGCUGACACGUAGGUGAAGUGAUUUACUCAUGGAGCUGAAGUCAGUCGAAGAUACCAGCUGGCUGCAACUGUUUAUUAAAAACACAGCACUGUGCAAACACGAAAGUGGACGUAUACGGUGUGACGCCUGCCCGGUGCCGGAAGGUUAAUUGAUGGGGUCAGCGCAAGCGAAGCUCCUGAUCGAAGCCCCGGUAAACGGCGGCCGUAACUAUAACGGUCCUAAGGUAGCGAAAUUCCUUGUCGGGUAAGUUCCGACCUGCACGAAUGGCGUAAUGAUGGCCAGGCUGUCUCCACCCGAGACUCAGUGAAAUUGAACUCGCUGUGAAGAUGCAGUGUACCCGCGGCAAGACGGAAAGACCCCGUGAACCUUUACUAUAGCUUGACACUGAACAUUGAGCCUUGAUGUGUAGGAUAGGUGGGAGGCUUUGAAGUGUGGACGCCAGUCUGCAUGGAGCCGACCUUGAAAUACCACCCUUUAAUGUUUGAUGUUCUAACGUGGACCCGUUACCCGGGUUGCGGACAGUGUCUGGUGGGUAGUUUGACUGGGGCGGUCUCCUCCUAAAGAGUAACGGAGGAGCACGAAGGUUGGCUAAUCCUGGUCGGACAUCAGGAGGUUAGUGCAAUGGCAUAAGCCAGCUUGACUGCGAGCGUGACGGCGCGAGCAGGUGCGAAAGCAGGUCAUAGUGAUCCGGUGGUUCUGAAUGGAAGGGCCAUCGCUCAACGGAUAAAAGGUACUCCGGGGAUAACAGGCUGAUACCGCCCAAGAGUUCAUAUCGACGGCGGUGUUUGGCACCUCGAUGUCGGCUCAUCACAUCCUGGGGCUGAAGUAGGUCCCAAGGGUAUGGCUGUUCGCCAUUUAAAGUGGUACGCGAGCUGGGUUUAGAACGUCGUGAGACAGUUCGGUCCCUAUCUGCCGUGGGCGCUGGAGAACUGAGGGGGGCUGCUCCUAGUACGAGAGGACCGGAGUGGACGCAUCACUGGUGUUCGGGUUGUCAUGCCAAUGGCACUGCCCGGUAGCUAAAUGCGGAAGAGAUAAGUGCUGAAAGCAUCUAAGCACGAAACUUGCCCCGAGAUGAGUUCUCCCUGAGACUUAGAGUCUCCUGAAGGAACGUUGAAGACGACGACGUUGAUAGGCCGGGUGUGUAAGCGCAGCGAUGCGUUGAGCUAACCGGUACUAAUGAACCGUGAGGCUUAACCUUACAACGCCGAAG
rnacentral:rRNA from 1 species